AUUAUUUCUCGGCAAGAAUUUUGCAGAUCAGGUGAAGCGUGGAACACGUGAAGCUGUGUUUUCCGUGUCCAAACCUCCUCAGCCGAACAUCUUCUUCAUCCUGGCUUUGACCAUGUCCAGGCGUUUGUGCGCCUUCAAUUUCGGCGCCAGGUUGCUGGGCGUUCUCACAGCGUCGUGGGAUUCGUCAAACAGCUUCUCUCCGAUCUCCUUCCUCACUCGAUCCCUCCAGGCCUGCAGCUUUGGAAA